rnacentral:lncRNA from 1 species
CAAAAUAGGUUAACGGAAGGCAUUUUUAACCUGGAGUCAAUAUGUUAAGGGCAAUUCUGACCCUUUUCCGUAAUUAGAAUUUAGAACAAAGAAAAGCUAACAGCAGACCUAAAGCAAAAAAUAAAAUGCGGUGAAGGUAAAUCAAACAAAAGAAAUAAUUACAGAAUAGAGAGGAAACAAAUCCUCUUCUUUUUUCAAAACUCUUCCUUUUCCCUCCCUGCAAAAACUUUAUCAUUUGUAUAAUAACCUACUGACAUAGGUAUAUUUAUAUAAUUCAUUAAAUAUGUAAAUUUUUAAAUUAUAUAAAUUUUUAAAU